rnacentral:rRNA from 1 species
GACGAACGCUGGCGGCGUGCCUAAUACAUGCAAGUCGAACGCAGUGGGGACGGGUGAGUAACCCGUGGGUAACCUCCCAUCAGCGUGGAUAACCCUUGGAAACAGCUGCUAAACCGAUACUGAUGGAUGGACCCGCGGUUCAUUAGCUAGUUGGGGAGGUAACGGCUCACCAAGGCCACGAUGCAUAGCCGACCUGAGAGGGUGAUCGGCCAAACGGGAACGAGAACAGGGCCCGGAUCCCUCGGGAGGGCAGCAGUGGGAAAUCUGCGGAAAGGGAGGAAGGUCGAACCGGCCACGGCCGGGUGGGGAAAGAGGGUUUCGGGACCGUAAAACUCGGUUGUUGGGAAAACGGUAUCUAACCAGAAGGCCAGGGCUAACAACGUGCCAGCGGCCGCGGUAAUA